rnacentral:misc_RNA from 1 species
GAUGAAGAACGUAGCGAAAUGCGAUAAGUAAUGUGAAUUGCAGAAUUCAGUGAAUCAUCGAAUCUUUGAACGCCCAUUGCGCCCGCCAGUAUUCUGGCGGGCAUGCCUGUUCGAGCGUCAUUUCAACCCUCAGGCCCCCAGUGCCAGGUGUUGGGGAUCGGCAGCAGGGCGUCAAGCCCGCCGGCCCCGAAAUCUAGUGGCGGUCUCGCUGUAGUCCUCCUCUGCGUAGUAGCACAACCUCGCAGUUGGAACGCGGCGGUGGCCAUGCCGUUAAACACCCCACUUCUGAAAGUUGACCUCGGAUCAGGUAGGAAUACCCGCUGAACUUAAGCAUAUCAAUAAGCGGAGGA